rnacentral:rRNA from 1 species
AUUGAACGCUGGCGGCAUGCUUUACACAUGCAAGUCGAACGGCAGCACGGGCUUCGGCCUGGUGGCGAGUGGCGAACGGGUGAGUAGUAUAUCGGAACGUACCCAGAAGUGGGGGAUAACGUAGCGAAAGUUACGCUAAUACCGCAUACGAUCUAUGGAUGAAAGCAGGGGACCGCAAGGCCUUGUGCUCCUGGAGCGGCCGAUAUCUGAUUAGCUAGUUGGUGAGGUAAAGGCUCACCAAGGCGACGAUCAGUAGCUGGUCUGAGAGGACGACCAGCCACACUGGAACUGAGACACGGUCCAGACUCCUACGGGAGGCAGCAGUGGGGAAUUUUGGACAAUGGGCGCAAGCCUGAUCCAGCAAUGCCGCGUGAGUGAAGAAGGCCUUCGGGUUGUAAAGCUCUUUUGUCAGGGAAGAAACGGUAGAGGCUAAUAUCCUGUGCUAAUGACGGUACCUGAAGAAUAAGCACCGGCUAACUACGUG